rnacentral:lncRNA from 10 species
UCUUCCUCUCUCUCCAAUUCAUAGAUUUGUAUUUAUUCACUUUUUAAUAAUUCAUCACAGUCAUUUUUGGUGCUCAAAAUGUCUAUAUUGCAGCCAGCAGACCCCCUUGAAGCUGGCCUCCUUGUGUCUUUUUGUAACAUGCCCAUUAGUCUUUAAGCACUUCUUUGCUUUCUGGUACUAGUAUUCCAGGCAUAAUUUGUACUUUUCCUACUCCAGUCAUGGAAUUCAGCCAUUUCCACAGUAAUCUCUGCUUUUUUCAAAUACCAGUAAGAAAGUAUUUAGAAACUAAGACCUGGAAUUAGGAAAGCUAACUUCUGCCAGGGUAUUGUUGCUUUCAGAGCCUUUCAGUGGACAGAACUAAGAAAUAUAUAUAUAUUUUUUUGUUUGUUUGUUUGUUUGUUUGUUUUGUUUUUGAGACAGGGUCUUGCUCUUGUCGCCCAGGCUGGAGUGCAAUGACCUGAUCUUGGCUCACUGCAACCUCCACCUCCCAGGUUCAAGCGAUUCUCCUGCUUCAGCCUCCUGAGUAGCUGGGAUUACAGGCGUCAGCCACCAUGCCCGGCCAAGAAAUAUGUUUUUUAAAAAACACUUAUAUCAAUAAUUCCAAUUCAAAUUUACAUUACAGGAUUUUUGCUGUUUACUUCUUUUAUUUAUUAUACUGAAAAUCUUGGUUCCUAAUAACAUUAACAUAAUUACUUAUUUUCUUUGUAUUACAAUGUGUAAAAAUGAUUCAAAGUUAUAAUAUUAAAUAUUAAUAU